rnacentral:rRNA from 1 species
UACGAAGGGGGGCUAGCGUUGCUCGGAAUGACUGGGCGUAAAGGGCGCGUAGGCGGUUUGGACAGUCAGAUGUGAAAUUCCUGGGCUCAACCUGGGGGGCUGCAUUUGAUACGUGCGGGCUUGAGGGUCGGAGAGGUAUGUGGAAUUCCUGGUGUAGCGGUGAAAUGCGUUGAUAUCAGGAGGAACACCCAUGGCGAAGGCAGCAUACUGGCCGGCAUCUGACGCUGAGGCGCGAAAGCGUGGGUAGCAAACAGG